GCCCCGGUAGCUCAGCUGGAUAGAGCGGCGGCCUUCUAAGCCGCAUGUCGCAGGUUCGAGUCCUGCCCGGGGUG
rnacentral:tRNA from 1 species